rnacentral:rRNA from 1 species
GACGAACGCUGGCGGCGUGCUUAACACAUGCAAGUCGAGCGGUAAGGCCCUUUCGGGGGUACACGAGCGGCGAACGGGUGAGUAACACGUGGGUGACCUGCCCUCAGCUCUGGGAUAAGCCUGGGAAACCGGGUCUAAUACCGGAUAUGACUCCAUGACGCAUGUUGUGGGGUGGAAAGCCUUGUGCGGCUGAGGAUGGGCCCGCGGCCUAUCAGCUUGUUGGUGGGGUGAUGGCCUACCAAGGCGACGACGGGUAGCCGGCCUGAGAGGGCGACCGGCCACACUGGGGACUGAGACACGGCCCAGACUCCUACGGGAGGCAGCAGUGGGGAAUCUUGCGCAAUGGGCGAAAGCCUGACGCGGCGACGCCGCGUGAGGGAUGACGGCCUGGUGUAAC